UUUCUCCAAUAUGUUGACCUUAAAAGUAACCUGUUUAAGAUGGUAGAGUCAUAGAGGGCAGGAGCCUGAGUCCUUGAAUCACUGCUAGAAGCUUCGCAGAAUGCAAGUAGCUCAUUGGGCAAAUGGUCCCAGGAAAGGCUGAAGAGGCCGAGUUGACAGGAGACAACGGUUGGGAGAAAGGGAGAAAGGGUGAUCGGCGUGUACAAUCCCCUGUGGGCACAGGGAGCUUCACCCAGAGAGAGGACGGCAGGAUCCAGAGUGGAGCACACUUUAGUUAUCCCACUCACACACAGAGUGACCUUCUGUGACUUGGGAAAAAGCCCCUGUGGAGUUGCAAGUUUGGGCAGUUGGAAGACUGGCUGGCUCUUUUCAUCCUUUCAAUGCAGCGCAGUUUCCAAGAGGGGCAGUGUCUGACCAACCCAACAAAAGUGGUUUCUUCGAACCCAGGU